UACGUAGGGGGCAAGCGUUGUCCGGAUUUAUUGGGCGUAAAGAGCUCGUAGGCGUCUGUCGCGUCUGCUGUGAAAACUCAGGGCUUAACCCUGAGCUUGCAGUGGGUACGGGCAGACUAGAGUGCGGUAGGGGAGACUGGAAUUCCUGGUGUAGCGGUGAAAUGCGCAGAUAUCAGGAGGAACACCUAUUGCGAAGGCAGCUCGCUGGGACGUAACUGACGCUGAGACGCGAAAGCGUGGGGAGCAAACAGG
rnacentral:rRNA from 1 species